rnacentral:rRNA from 1 species
AGAGUUGAUCCUGGCUCAGAUUGAACGCUGGCGGCGUGCUUAACACAUGCAAGUCGUGCGAGAAAGGGGACUUCGGUCCCUGAGUAGAGCGGCGCACGGGUGAGUAACGCGUGGAUAAUCUCCCCAGAAGUUCGGGAUAACGGCGGGAAACUGCCGCUAAUACCGGAUACGCUCCAAUUUCGGUUGGGGGAAAGGCGGCCUCUGUUUACAAGCUGUCGCUUCUGGAUGAGUCCGCGUCCCAUUAGCUUGUUGGUGGGGUAAUGGCCUACCAAGGCUACGAUGGGUAGCUGGUCUGAGAGGAUGAUCAGCCACACUGGAACUGAAACACGGUCCAGACUCCUACGGGAGGCAGCAGUGGGGAAUAUUGCGCAAUGGGGGAAACCCUGACGCAGCGACGCCGUGUGAGGGAUGAAGGCUUUCGGG